AGAGUUUGAUCCUGGCUCAGAUUGAACGCUGGCGGCAGGCCUAACACAUGCAAGUCGAACGGUAGCACAGAGAGCUUGCUCUCGGGUGACGAGUGGCGGACGGGUGAGUAAUGUCUGGGAAACUGCCUGAUGGAGGGGGAUAACUACUGGAAACGGUAGCUAAUACCGCAUAAUGUCGCAAGACCAAAGAGGGGGACCUUCGGGCCUCUUGCCAUCAGAUGUGCCCAGAUGGGAUUAGCUAGUAGGUGGGGUAACGGCUCACCUAGGCGACGAUCCCUAGCUGGUCUGAGAGGAUGACCAGCCACACUGGAACUGAGACACGGUCCAGACUCCUACGGGAGGCAGCAGUGGGGAAUAUUGCACAAUGGGCGCAAGCCUGAUGCAGCCAUGCCGCGUGUAUGAAGAAGGCCUUCGGGUUGUAAAGUACUUUCAGCGGGGAGGAAGGUGUUGUGGUUAAUAACCACAGCAAUUGACGUUACCCGCAGAAGAAGCACCGGCUAACUCCGUGCCAGCAGCCGCGGUAAUACGGAGGGUGCAAGCGUUAAUCGGAAUUACUGGGCGUAAAGCGCACGCAGGCGGUCUGUCAAGUCGGAUGUGAAAUCCCCGGGCUCAACCUGGGAACUGCAUUCGAAACUGGCAGGCUAGAGUCUUGUAGAGGGGGGUAGAAUCCCAGGUGUAGCGGUGAAAUGC
rnacentral:rRNA from 1 species